rnacentral:sRNA from 1 species
UCCUGAUGCCCUCAGGCCCUCUGCCCAGGACAUCAAUGGUGCCCGGGCCUACCACAGCCCCCCAGGAAACUCAGAAUCAGGAAGGAAAUCAUCUCUUCCCUCUGUAGCCCCCACUGGGAGCGCCUCAGCUGCUGAGGAUGGUGAUCUGCUGGCUCAGCCUUGGUACUCGGGGAACUGUGACCGCCAUGCUGUUGAGAGUGCCCUGCUCCACUUACAAAAGGAUGGGGCCUAUACCGUGCGCCCCAGCUCAGGGCCUCAUGGCUCCCAGCCCUUCACCCUGGCAGUGCUUCUCCGAGGCCGGGUCUUCAACAUUCCCAUCCGGCGGCUGGAUGGCGGAUGCCACUAUGCCCUGGGCCGGGAGGGCAGGAACCAUGAGGAGCUCUUCUGCUCCGUGGCCGCCAUGGUCCAGCACUUCACACAGCACCCUCUGCCCCUUGUGGACAGACACAGUGGCAGCCGUGAACUCACCUGCCUGCUCUUCCCUGCCAAGCCUUGAGGCCACAGCGAAGAAUGCAGGUGUCCCCCAGUUUACUAGGUCCUGGAUGAAGGAACCGUGGUGGCCUAGACCAGUCAGGGGACAGCACAGGCACUGCCAGAACAGCAAAGGAUCCUCUCACAUCUACUUGUGGGCCUAGGGCACCCUGAGAAGGACUGGCCUGCCUUGCACAAGUUUGCUUUCAAUAAACAUUUGUUGAAUG